rnacentral:lncRNA from 1 species
GCAGGCCGAGAUCGAGAUGUUCUGGAUCCUCCAGCGGCGAUGGGCCGGGACAAGUUUCCGGAGGCGCCGCGACCGCGCUCCUGGUUCCCCAUCAUCGCCAUGAUCGUGCUCAUGGCGCUGGUCAUCUUCCCCACCGUCUUCUUCCUGCUCAGCCUCAUCUCGAAAC